rnacentral:lncRNA from 1 species
UCUGCUGUGAGUGCCUGGCACUGCACCUGAAACCGCUGUUUGAGAGAGACACAUUGCACGUUUCCCAGCGAUUACAGAUUCAUUCCAAAACAUGGAAGCUGACGCGGACACGGGCAGUUUUCAGUGCGAGUUUCCUGGAUAAUAGACUCACUGGAGUGUUGAGCAGCAAAAAAGAAAGCAACAAGACCUUUGAAAGGUUUUCAGAUUUUGAUUGAAUUAGAAACUAUUUCAGGGCUUUUCAUUUAUGCUCUGUAAUGUCCCAG